rnacentral:rRNA from 1 species
UACGGGGGGAGCAAGCGUUGUUCGGAUUUACUGGGCGUAAAGGGCGCGUAGGCGGCCAGCACAAGUCAGUUGUGAAAUCUCCGAGCUUAACUCGGAACGGUCAACUGAUACUGUGCGGCUAGAGUGCAGAAGGGGCAACUGGAAUUCUUGGUGUAGCGGUGAAAUGCGUAGAUAUCAAGAGGAACACCUGCGGCGAAGGCGGGUUGCUGGGCUGACACUGACGCUGGAGGCGCGGAAAGCUAGGGGAGCGAACGGG